AAACCUAAAUCGCUGAGUUCUGAAAAAGAAGCGGGGAAACCAUAGAGUGCUGAUCAUACGAUCUAAUCUCAGGGGUGAAUAACUUCAUUUACGAAGUUUAGGGCGACUUUUGCGCCCGAAUCCGUCAGCUAACCUCGUAAGCGUCCAGAAGAGGAAUU
rnacentral:sRNA from 2 species